GACGAACCGUGCGAACGUUGUUCGGAUUCACUGGGCUUAAGGACGGCGUAGCGGUCCACCAAGUCUGGGGUGAAAUCGUUCGGCUUAACCGGACAAGUGCCUUGGAUACUGGUGGGCUGGAGGGAGGUAGGGGCAGCUGGAACUUCUGGUGGAGCGGUGAAAUGCGUUGAUAUCAGAAGGAACGCCGGUGGCGAAAGCGAACUGCUGGACCUCGUUCU
rnacentral:rRNA from 1 species